CAUUCACGGAGAGUUUGAUCCUGGCUCAGGACGAACGCUGGCGGCGUGCUUAACACAUGCAAGUCGAACGAUGAAACCGCUUCGGUGGUGGAUUAGUGGCGAACGGGUGAGUAACACGUGGGCAAUCUGCCCUUCACUCUGGGACAAGCCCUGGAAACGGGGUCUAAUACCGGAUAACACUCUGUCCCGCAUGGGACGGGGUUGAAAGCUCCGGCGGUGAAGGAUGAGCCCGCGGCCUAUCAGCUUGUUGGUGGGGUAAUGGCCUACCAAGGCGACGACGGGUAGCCGGCCUGAGAGGGCGAC
rnacentral:rRNA from 1 species